UGUUUGUCCACAUCGUCUCCGGCGCCUCAUUUUUCCAUCUGAACCAGACGGCCGCAUGAAAGGCAAUCGCUCUGCGGCCCGGCGCGCUGUGUUUUCAGUGCUUCUGAGUGUGGUGGUGACCGGUACAGGCGACUUGAGUGGGAACUGCGGAGAAGAGGGUGGAAGACGAGUGGAUGGUGUCAGAAGUGAGAGGAAGAAGAGAAGUAAUGAUGAGAAAAGCUGAAAGGCACUCAAGGUCUCCUUCAGACGUCCAACACUGUGAAUACAAAGCAGGUGAAGUGGAAAAAAGGUCUUGAGGUUUUAAAAUUAAAUUUCCACGCCUCCUCGUCUUUUUUUGUCAUUUAAAGGUUUU